GGAAUUGUUCGCAAUGGGCGCAAGCCUGACGACGCAACGCCGCGUGGAGGAUGAAGAUCUUCGGGUCGUAAACUCCUUUCGAUCGAGACGAAUUCCUCCGGGGUGAACAAUCCCGGGGGGUGACGGUACAGAGAGAAGAAGCCCCGGCUAACUCCGUUCCAGCAGCCGCGGUAAUACGGGGGGGGCAAGCGUUGUUCGGAAUUACUGGGCGUACAGGGCUCGUAGGCGGCCAACUAAGUCAGACGUGAAACCCCGCGGCUUAACCUGGGAACUGCGUCUUAUACUGGAUGGCUUGAGUUUGGGAGAGGGAUGCGGAAUUCCAGGUGUAGCGGUGAAAUGCGUAGAUAUCUGGAGGAACACCGGUGGCGAAGGCGGCAUCCUGGACCAACACUGACGCUGAGGAGCGAAAGCCAGGGGAGCAA
rnacentral:rRNA from 1 species